GGUUACCGUACGAUAACCGAAGUUAAGCAAAGCCGAGCCAGAUCAGUACCUAGAUGGGUGACCGCAUGGUAAUAUCAGGUGCUGUAAG